UAUAGACGCGCCUGUGCUGGUGUCUGGGCUCACGCCUGGACUUAAAAGGGAACCCGGUGUGAUUCCGGGACUGCCCCGCAGCGGUAAGUGAGAACGAAUCUCGCCAUUGGCACUGGCUCCUCGGGGGCUGGGAAGCGGCGAGCCGUAGGAAUCCGGCCCUGGGCCGGAGCGCUCACGAGUCCGAAGACCUGCCCGCAUCCACCCGUGGGG
rfam:Stigmatella aurantiaca DW4/3-1, complete genome.